UAGGGAAUCUUCCGCAAUGGGCGAAAGCCUGACGGAGCAACGCCGCGUGAGUGAAGAAGGUCUUCGGAUCGUAAAACUCUGUUAUUAGGGAAGAACAAAUGUGUAAGUAACUAUGCACGUCUUGACGGUACCUAAUCAGAAAGCCACGGCUAACUACGUGCCAGCAGCCGCGGUAAUACGUAGGUGGCAAGCGUUAUCCGGAAUUAUUGGGCGUAAAGCGCGCGUAGGUGGUUUUUUAAGUCUGAUGUGAAAGCCCACGGCUCAACCGUGGAGGGUCAUUGGAAACUGGAAAACUUGAGUGCAGAAGAGGAAAGUGGAAUUCCAUGUGUAGCGGUGAAAUGCGCAGAGAUAUGGAGGAACACCAGUGGCGAAGGCGACUUUCUGGUCUGUAACUGACGCUGAUGUGCGAAAGCGUGGGGAUCAAACA
rnacentral:rRNA from 1 species